rnacentral:tRNA from 1 species
GCCCGGCCAGCUCGGUUGGUGGAGCGUGUGACUCUCGAUCUUGGUGUUAUGGGUUCGAGCCCUAUGUUGGGUG